rnacentral:rRNA from 1 species
ACGGUGUGGUUCAUGACUGGGGUGAAGUCGUAACAAGGUAGCCCUAGGGGAACCUGGGGCUGGAUCACCUCCUUACAAAAAAG